GUCAAUUAGUGCCAAUUAGGAUUUAUACUUUAUGACAAUAGCGGUUUAAAUGAUGUGCACUGAUGACAAAUGAACUUAAUUGGGUGUGAUUAUCGCGAAGUUAGCGAGAAGGGCAAGUGCGAAUCACAGUUCCAGUUGGUACAACGAAGAUGCAGAUAAAAAUUGGCACUGCGAAGUUUGUAGAGGUGCUAAGUUGGACAACGCCUACGCCCGUGGACAUGACCAACCAGCAAAAACAACCAAUCAUCAGAGACAUGGCUUGUCAAAUCAGCACAAGGCCGCCUUGGAAAAGACAGUUCUGAGUUCCCAGGAACCCAUGAAGAAAAUUGUACUGGCCAAACUGUCCAAGGAUGACGAGCUCGGGGUCAAGCUCCUUAAGACUGCCUACCACCUGGCCAAGCGGGAGCUCCCCAAGGUGGAAUUUCAGUACCACCUCCAGCUUGCCGGGGCCAUAGGUGCUGAUCUCGGCUGACCUUGAGACCUACAUUGUGUAGACUGAUCAAGUGUAUAGUGCUUCUUGUUUUGAGAACUAGGAUGUGAUGAUAUAUUGACUACUUUUUUGUUUUUUACAAUUGAUGUCAUGUUGUUUGAUUUCAGCUAGUUUUGUUUGUAUUUAUUAGCUUAUUUUAUUUAUUUAUCAUGUAUUUAAAUUCAGAUAUAUAUUUA